rnacentral:rRNA from 1 species
CUAGUAAUGGCAGGUCAGCAUACUGCCGUGAAUACGUUCCCGGGCCUUGUACACACCGCCCGUCACACCAUGAGAGUUGGGGAUACCCGAAGCCUGUGAGCCAACAGUUAAAUGGGGCAGCAGUCGAAGGUAGAAUCAAUGAUUGGGGUGAAGUCGUAACAAGGUAAC